AUCGAACGCUGGCGGCAUGCUUUACACAUGCAAGUCGAACGGCAGCACGGGUGCUUGCACCUGGUGGCGAGUGGCGAACGGGUGAGUAAUACAUCGGAACAUGUCCUGUAGUGGGGGAUAGCCCGGCGAAAGCCGGAUUAAUACCGCAUACGAUCUACGGAUGAAAGCGGGGGGCUUUCGGGCCUCGCGCUGUAGGGUUGGCCGAUGGCUGAUUAGCUAGUUGGUGGGGUAAAGGGCCACCAAGGGGAGUAUCAGGAGCUGGUCUGAGAGGAGGACCAGCGACACUGGGACUGAGACACGGCCCAGAGUCCUACGGGAGGCAGCAGUGGGGAAUGUUGGACAAUGGGCGAAAGCCUGAUCCAGCAAUGCCGCGUGUGUGAAGAAGGCCUUCGGGUUGUAAAGCACUUUUGUCCGGAAAGAAAUCCUUGGCCCUAAUACGGUCGGGGGAUGACGGUACCGGAAGAAUAAGCACCGGCUAACUACGUG
rnacentral:rRNA from 1 species